AGGGAACACAAGCAGGGGGAGAGGGAGAGGGAAAAGCAGGCUUCUGAUUGAGCAAGGAAUCCAAUGCAGGGCUCGAUCCCAGGACCCUGGGAUCAUGACCUGAGCCGAAGGCAGAGGCUUUAACC